rnacentral:rRNA from 1 species
UAACGCGAAGAACCUUACCAGGUCUUGACAUCUUCUGCCAGGCUGAGAGAUCAGCUGUUCCCUUCGGGGACAGAAUGACAGGUGGUGCAUGGUUGUCGUCAGCUCGUGUCGUGAGAUGUUGGGUUAAGUCCCGCAACGAGCGCAACCCCUAUUAUUAGUUGCCAGCAUUAAGUUGGGCACUCUAAUGAGACUGCCGGUGACAAACCGGAGGAAGGUGGGGAUGACGUCAAGUCAUCAUGCCCCUUAUGACCUGGGCUACACACGUGCUACAAUGGGCAGUACAACGAGGAGCGAACUUGUGAAGGCAAGCGAAUCUCUGAAAGCUGUUCUCAGUUCGGACUGUAGGCUGCAACUCGCCUACACGAAGCUGGAAUCGCUAGUAAUCGCGGAUCAGC